GAGGGUAUAGCUCAAGUGGUAGAGUGCAUGCUUAGCAUGCAGAAGGUCCUGGGUUCAAUCCCCAGUACCUCCU
rnacentral:tRNA from 1 species